AACGUAGGUGGCAAGCGUUAUCCGGAUUUACUGGGCGUAAAGCGUGUGCAGGCGGGGGUACAAGUGGUGUAUGAAAUUUCCCAGCUUAACUGGGAAGGGUUAUGCCAGACUGUACUUCUGGAGUGCGAGAGAGGGGCGUGGAAUUCCGGGUGUAGUGGUGAAAUGCGCAGAUAUCAGGAGGAACACCGGUGGCGAAGGCGGGUCUCUGGGCAGUAACUGACGCUGAGGAGCGAAAGUGUGGGGAGCGAACAGG
rnacentral:rRNA from 1 species